CGUGCAGCGCUGCAGCCACGUAAACAGAGUUUGCCCUUCCCCUACUGACUUUUACUUUCGGACGGGUGCCCGAAUAUGGAAGUAAAUGAGGCUUAUCAAGGCCUACAUGAAAUUCUGCAUCCAUUGUACGAUUUUUUUAUUUAUUUUUUUCCACCUCGGAAGGGCAACGUGAGUCGAGAAGGGCAUAUGGGCAGUUGCCCGGGCAACCUGAGCAACCCCCCUGUGCACGUCCCUGAAUACGACUGACACGUCUUGUGUUAUUCUAUAGUCUUUGUCUUAUAUAAGUGGUGCUCACAUAAAGCUGCCUCUCAAACAUUUCAUACCAAAUUGAGUUGUUUUCAUGGCGUUUUGUGUGUAAACAGUCACAACAUUAUGUCGAAAUUCCCGUCUUGGCGAGUAUUCAGCAGGACUUAACGACGAGCUCUUUGGCUGACUUUCGCUACAAGACGCCGACAACACCAGCUUUUCUUCCAACGCAGUGUUUACACAGUUACAUAUGUCUGGACUCACAAAAGCGCUGGAGGGUUGUUGCCCAUCAUGGCCCGUGCUGCAUCGCUAAGACACGAGGAGCACGGCGCAACAUAACAGAUGGGUUGGCCCACCUUCUCUGAGGACAGUGUAAUGUGGACCUGUCUGUGCCUGACAGGACGGCAGAGAUCAAACGACAUUGUGGAAGGUGAAGAGCCUUUCCUUUCGCCAGCUUCACUGUGUGACACGUGGCAGAAGAGGCCAGUUGCAGCCUGACUGACCAGGGAGUCAAAUUGCUUACUAACCAGUUUUGUAUACAAAACGAUAGCACUGAAUGCUGGCAGAGUGGAAGUGACCGCUAAAAUACUGUCAACAUCUGUCCACCGUCAUCUUAAUCAUCUCUUAUUACUAUUAGAAGAUAAUGGGGACAAUUGUAAGUUUUCACAUUUGCCUUUAUUUAUAGACUACUGCAGUUAUCAGUGUGCCAUAUUUUGAUACAAGACACAUUUAUAUGUAUAACAUACAUUUAUAGUUCCAAAAGUAAUAGUACUAUUACAAUAUUUGCAUACAGAAAAAUAACACUAUCAUAUUGAAUGUAUUUAAAACAACAACAACAACAACAAAAAAACAAUGUUUUAGGGCAUUUUUGUAAAAAUAAAAAGUGAUAAAAUGAUAAUAACAUAUCUUUAAUACUAAUUCUAAUUCUAACUACCUUUUUAUGGUACUCAUUUUUUUUUUAGCUAUCAUGAAUAAUUUGUGUUUAAAGCAAAAGUCUAAGUGGUACCUACUUUAUUAUUAUGUUAAAUGGGUUACAUCCUUUUAACUAAAAUAUAUUUAUCAGCUAACAAGACAAGGGCAGUCUUCAACUAGAUACUUUAAUUAAAUAAUGUUCAUUUUAAAUUAUAAAGGUUAAUUCUUUGCAGUCAUACAAUUUUAAUUUCAUAACUAGUGUUACAGUAGCUGUGAUAAAAUCCUGUGCAAUGUUAGCUUCUGUUGUUCAUGUUAACUUUUAUCUAAUAACCUAUACAGUGUAUAUAGAUAGAUAGAUAGAUAGAUAGAUAGAUAGACAUAUAGACAGA